rnacentral:rRNA from 1 species
AUUGAACGCUGGCGGCAGGCUUAACACAUGCAAGUCGAGCGGAGUGAUGGUGCUUGCACUAUCACUUAGCGGCGGACGGGUGAGUAAUGCUUAGGAAUCUGCCUAUUAGUGGGGGACAACAUCGCGAAAGGGAUGCUAAUACCGUAUACGUCCUACGGGAGAAAGCAGGGGAUCACUUGUGACCUUGCGCUAAUAGAUGAGCCUAAGUCGGAUUAGCUAGUUGGUGGGGUGAAGGCCUACCAAGGCGAAGAUCUGUAGCGGGUCUGAGAGGAUGAUCCGCCACACUGGGACUGAGACACGGCCCAGAAUCCUACGGGAGGCAGCAGUGGGGAAUAUUGGACAAUGGGGGGAACCCUGAUCCAGCCAUGCCGCGUGUGUGAAGAAGGCCUUAUGGUUGUAAAGCACUUUAAGCGAGGAGGAGGCUCUUUUGGUUAAUACCCAAGAUGAGUGGACGUUACUCGCAGAAUAAGCACCGGCUAACUCUGUGCCAGCAGCCGCAGUAA